rnacentral:lncRNA from 1 species
GUUAGAACUUGGUUCAAUUAUUUUUCUAAUUGGAUUAGGCUCAAAUUAGUUAGGUUUGGGUUCCUAGUUGGAUUAGGAUUUGACCUUUUCUUUAGUGCAACCAAAUCUGAUUUGGUCAAAGAUUUAAUUUGGUUCAAAUAAGGCACAAAAGGAAAUCCCAAUUGGAUUGGGAUUCUUCCUCUCCCUUGCGCCACAAGGAAUCCCCAUGAGAUUAUCAAUGCCAACCCAUAUUCCACCGCCCCUUCUCUUAUGUUUUAGCAUGAGAUAUCUUAUGCUAAAAGA